GUUGAUGUAGCAGGGAAGGGAAUUGGGUCCUCAUUGGAUGAAUCCAAGGUGCAGGUUGCUGAAGAAGCUCUUGGAAAUCUAAAGUUAAUGCUUCGUCAGAAUACUCUGAAACGUCCAGGUUCUCCAAGGUCAUUACAAGGGAUCUCAAGUAAACAGCUGAAGUUAGAAUUCUCACGAGUUUUGCAGUUGAUACCUUCCAUCAGAUAUUCCAAGAAGACCCCUCAUUGACAAAAGUCCAAUAAUGGGUGUAGAGUUGUCAUCUCUACUGCACAUUUGCACAUGAUGGGCAGCAUUAUCCAUAUCACUACCAUUCUCCACCAAACCAAUACUACUAAUGUGGUUUUGACUUUCCUGUGAUGCUGAAAUCCCAUUGGAUAGAUCUGACACUGAACUGACCAAAUUCUUUUGAAAAGUAAGGGAAGAGAUAUAGAUGAUCUUGAUAAACAGCAGAGUUACACUACAGGUAUAAAUUUCAUGUUUUAUCUUCAAAAAAUCAUCACCAUCGGUCAGCAGAAUGUGAGAAGGUUGCUGAUCCCCACUCCCCAGCUAUCUCUUUAUGUGUAUCAUGCCAUCACUUCAAGUUCCAUGGUCUUCAGGAGAGAUGACUUUGGUUAAGAUUUUUCUCUUUCGGGGGCUUUCGGUUUUUACAUUUAUGAAGGAAUACUAUAUUGAUGAAGAGAGUUUAGUUUCUGGUAUUACUCUCUUGAGCUUUAGAGGAGUAUCUGUACUGUCAGCAAGCGAGACCCUGAAAGAGCCAACAUUGCUUGAGAUAACGUUUGUGUAUGGGAUUCACAGGUCUGGCAGCAGUCAGGAUUGAUUCCUUGGUUUUUCCUUUUGAGGAUCAUUGCCUGCAGCUUAAAGGGAUGGAUCAUGGAUGUGUCUCAACCAGCUGAUUUAGUUGCCAUUUGUCCUGUAGAAAGGGAAAAAAAUAGCAACUGUAGUUGCAUGACCAUGUUGAAUGGUCUCAGUGCUGAUUUUGUUGAAUUGACAGAUUGAUUAACUUUUGUACAAAUGUUCUCAUUUGCUUGUGAUGUGUAGUAUAUAGUUUCCAUGUAUGUGCCUGAAGAUCCUGAACACUUGAAUACGAGUUGAUGAUCUAAAAGAAAUUUUAAGCAAUGACUGUAGCAAAAGUGAUUUUACUGGA